AGUGGGGGAUAACGUAGCGAAAGUUACGCUAAUACCGCAUAUGCCCUGAGGGGGAAAGGAGGGGAUCGCAAGACCUUUCGCUUUCGGAGUGGCCGAUAUCGGAUUAGCUAGUUGGUGAGGUAAAGGCUCACCAAGGCGACGAUCCGUAGCGGGUCUGAGAGGAUGAUCCGCCACACUGGGACUGAGACACGGCCCAGACUCCUACGGGAGGCAGCAGUGGGGAAUUUUGGACAAUGGGCGCAAGCCUGAUCCAGCCAUGCCGCGUGAGUGAAGAAGGCCUUCGGGUUGUAAAGCUCUUUCAGACGGAAAGAAAUCSYRYYCRYUAAUACYGRGYGKGGAUGACGGUACCGUAAGAAGAAGCACCGGCUAACUACGUGCCAGCAGCCGCGGUAAUACGUAGGGUGCGAGCGUUAAUCGGAAUUACUGGGCGUAAAGCGUGCGCAGGCGGCUUUUUAAGCCAGAUGUGAAAUCCCCGGGCUUAACCUGGGAACUGCAUUUGGAACUGGAAGGCUAGAGUGUAGCAGAGGGGGGUAGAAUUCCA
rnacentral:rRNA from 1 species